rnacentral:rRNA from 1 species
GGAGAACGUGCCCUUAAGUGGAGGAUAAUCUCGGGAAAUUGAGGAUAAUACUCCAUAGAUCAUGGGAUCUGGAAUGACCCAUGGUUGAAAGUUCCGGCGCUUAAGGAUCGCUCUGCGGCUUAUCAGGUUGUAGUGGGUGUAACGUACCCCCUAGCCAGUGACGAGUAUGGGCCUUGAGAGAGGGAGCCCAGAGUUGGAUUCUGAGACACGAAUCCAGGCCCUACGGGGCGCAGCAGUCGCGAAAACUUCACACUGGGGGCAACCCCGAUGAGGGAAUUCCUAGUGCUAGGACAUUUGUUCUAGCUUUUCUCUAGCGUAGAUAACUAGAGGAAUAAGGGCUGGGUAAGACGGGUGCCAGCCGCCGCGGUAAUACCUGCAGCCCAAGUGGUGGUCGAUUUUAUUGAGUCUAAAGCGUUCGUAGCCGGUUUGAUAAAUCCUUGGGUAAAUCGGGAAGCUUAACUUUCCGACUUCCGAGGAGACUGUCAGGCUUGGGAUCGGGAGAGGUAAGAGGUACUUCAGGGGUAGGGGUAAAAUCCUGUAAUCCUUGGAGGACCACCGGUGGCGAAGGCGUCUUACUAGAACGAAUCCGACGGUGAGGGACGAAGCCCUAGGUCGCAAACGGGAUUAGAUACCCCGGUAGUCUAGGGUGUAAACGCUGCAGACUUGGUGUUGGAGGCCCUUCGGGGGCAUUCAGUGCCGGAGAGAAGUUGUUAAGUCUGCUACUUGGGGAGUACGUCCGCAAGGAUGAAACUUAA